AUAUUUCGACCUUUUCACCCACUAUCAAUCUAAAGACUUCUUUGGUAACGUGCAUAGUAUGAAGCACCACUAUCGCUAUCUCUUAAGAUAGGUUUUUGUCCAGUCAGAUCUGCACUUCCAUGACUAGCUCUAACGUGUGGUGAAACUUUCUUGGAUAGAUGAAUCAUUCCGAUUAUUACAGAUCCCGAGAUUGAAAAGGAACGUUGCUGUGCUACCUUUGUUAAGGCCUUCACUCU